rnacentral:rRNA from 1 species
GACGAACGCUGGCGGCGUGCUUAACACAUGCCAGUCGAACGGAAAGGCCCCUUUGGGGGUACUCGAGUGGCGAACGGGUGAGUAACACGUGAGUAACCUGCCCUUGACUUCGGGAUAACUUCAGGAAACUGGGGCUAAUACCGGAUAGGAAUCCUUGCUGCAUGGUGGGGGUUGGAAAGCUUCGGCGGUUUUGGAUGGACUCGCGGCUUAUCAGCUUGUUGGUGGGGUAGUGGCUUACCAAGGCUUUGACGGGUAGCCGGCCUGAGAGGGCGACCGGCCACAUUGGGACUGAGAUACGGCCCAGACUCCUACGGGAGGCAGCAGUGGGGAAUAUUGCACAAUGGGCGGAAGCCUGAUGCAGCAACGCCGCGUGCGGGAUGACGGCCUUCGGGUUGUAAACCGCUUUCAGCAGGGGCGAAGCUUGUGGUGACGGUACCUGCAGAAGAAGCACCGGCUAACUACGG